rnacentral:rRNA from 1 species
AUAUCAAUAAGCGGAGGAAAAGAAACCAACAGGGAUUGCCUUAGUAACGGCGAGCGAAGCGGCAACAGCUCAAAUUUGAAAUCUGGCUUUCUGGCCCGAGUUGUAAUUUGUAGAGGAAGUUUCGGACAAGGCUUUGGUUUAAUUUUCUUGGAACAGUAAAUCAUAGAGGGUGAGAAUCCCGUCUUGAACCGUCUGCCGCGUCCAUGUGAAACUCCUUCGACGAGUCGAGUUGUUUGGGAAUGCAGCUCAAAAUGGGUGGUAAAUUUCAUCUAAAGCUAAAUAUUGGCCAGAGACCGAUAGCGCACAAGUA